UACGGGGGGGGCAAGCGUUGUUCGGAAUUACUGGGCGUAAAGGGCUCGUAGGUGGCCAACUAAGUCAGACGUGAAAUCCCUCAGCUUAACUGGGGAACUGCGUCUGAUACUGGAUGGCUUGAGUGCAGGAGAGGAACGCGGAAUUCCAGGUGUAGCGGUGAAAUGCGUAGAUAUCUGGAGGAACACCGGUGGCGAAGGCGGCGUUCUGGACUGCAACUGACACUGAGGAACGAAAGCCAGGGGAGCAAACGGG
rnacentral:rRNA from 1 species